rnacentral:rRNA from 1 species
AGACCCGAAACCCGGUGAUCUAGCCAUGGGCAGGUUGAAGGUUGGGUAACACUAACUGGAGGACCGAACCGACUAAUGUUGAAAAAUUAGCGGAUGACCUGUGGCUGGGGGUGAAAGGCCAAUCAAACCGGGAGAUAGCUGGUUCUCCCCGAAAGCUAUUUAGGUAGCGCCUCGUGAAUUCAUCUCCGGGGGUAGAGCACUGUUUCGGCUAGGGGGCCAUCCCGGCUUACCAACCCGAUGCAAACUGCGAAUACCGGAGAAUGUUAUCACGGGAGACACACGGCGGGUGCUAACGUCCGUCGUGAAGAGGGAAACAACCCAGACCGCCAGCUAAGGUCCCAAAGUCAUGGUUAAGUGGGAAACGAUGUGGGAAGGCCCAGACAGCCAGGAUGUUGGCUUAGAAGCAGCCAUCAUUUAAAGAAAGCGUAAUAGCUCACUGGUCGAGUCGGCCUGCGCGGAAGAUGUAACGGGGCUAAACCAUGCACCGAAGCUGCGGCAGCGAACGUAUCACCCAAGACAACUUUACGGAGUUGACGAUUGACGGAGCGAAGCGACGUCAAAGCGUUCAUUAAAGUCGAGUUGGCUUAGGGAUACGUUCGUUGGGUAGGGGAGCGUUCUGUAAGCCUGUGAAGGUGUGUCGUGAGGCAUGCUGGAGGUAUCAGAAGUGCGAAUGCUGACAUAAGUAACGAUAAAGCGGGUGAAAAGCCCGCUCGCCGGAAGACCAAGGGUUCCUGUCCAACGUUAAUCGGGGCAGGGUGAGUCGACCCCUAAGGCGAGGCCGAAAGGCGUAGUCGAUGGGAAACGGGUUAAUAUUCCCGUACUUGGUGUUACUGCGAAGGGGGGACGGAGAAGGCUAUGUUGGCCGGGCGACGGUUGUCCCGGUUUAAGCGUGUAGGUGUGUGUUCCAGGUAAAUCCGGUUCACUUUAACACUGAGGCGUGAUGACGAGGCACUACGGUGCUGAAGCAACAAAUGCCCUGCUUCCAGGAAAAGCCUCUAAGCAUCAGGUAACAUCAAAUCGUACCCCAAACCGACACAGGUGGUCAGGUAGAGAAUACCAAGGCGCUUGAGAGAACUCGGGUGAAGGAACUAGGCAAAAUGGUGCCGUAACUUCGGGAGAAGGCACGCUGACACGUAGGUGAAGUGAUUUACUCACGGAGCUGAAGUCAGUCGAAGAUACCAGCUGGCUGCAACUGUUUAUUAAAAACACAGCACUGUGCAAACACGAAAGUGGACGUAUACGGUGUGACGCCUGCCCGGUGCCGGAAGGUUAAUUGAUGGGGUCAGCGCAAGCGAAGCUCCUGAUCGAAGCCCCGGUAAACGGCGGCCGUAACUAUAACGGUCCUAAGGUAGCGAAAUUCCUUGUCGGGUAAGUUCCGACCUGCACGAAUGGCGUAAUGAUGGCCAGGCUGUCUCCACCCGAGACUCAGUGAAAUUGAACUCGCUGUGAAGAUGCAGUGUACCCGCGGCAAGACGGAAAGACCCCGUGAACCUUUACUAUAGCUUGACACUGAACAUUGAGCCUUGAUGUGUAGGAUAGGUGGGAGGCUUUGAAGUGUGGACGCCAGUCUGCAUGGAGCCGACCUUGAAAUACCACCCUUUAAUGUUUGAUGUUCUAACGUGGACCCGUAAUCCGGGUUGCGGACAGUGUCUGGUGGGUAGUUUGACUGGGGCGGUCUCCUCCUAAAGAGUAACGGAGGAGCACGAAGGUUGGCUAAUCCUGGUCGGACAUCAGGAGGUUAGUGCAAUGGCAUAAGCCAGCUUGACUGCGAGCGUGACGGCGCGAGCAGGUGCGAAAGCAGGUCAUAGUGAUCCGGUGGUUCUGAAUGGAAGGGCCAUCGCUCAACGGAUAAAAGGUACUCCGGGGAUAACAGGCUGAUACCGCCCAAGAGUUCAUAUCGACGGCGGUGUUUGGCACCUCGAUGUCGGCUCAUCACAUCCUGG